rnacentral:tRNA from 1 species
GCCUCUGUAGCUCAGUUGGUUAGAGUGCGCAACGGAAUCGCAAGGUCGUAGGUUCAAUUCCUAACAGAGGAC